rnacentral:rRNA from 1 species
GUCUUUUGAGUACCUUCGUUUCCUCGGCGGGUCCGCCCGCCGAUUGGACAACAUUCAAACCCUUUGCAGUUGCAAUCAGCGUCUGAAAAAACAUAAUAGUUACAACUUUCAACAACGGAUCUCUUGGUUCUGGCAUCGAUGAAGAACGCAGCGAAAUGCGAUAAGUAGUGUGAAUUGCAGAAUUCAGUGAAUCAUCGAAUCUUUGAACGCACAUUGCGCCCCUUGGUAUUCCAUGGGGCAUGCCUGUUCGAGCGUCAUUUGUACCUUCAAGCUCUGCUUGGUGUUGGGUGUUUGUCUCGCCUCUGCGUGUAGACUCGCCUUAAAACAAUUGGCAGCCGGCGUAUUGAUUUCGGAGCGCAGUACAUCUCGCGCUUUGCACUCAUAACGACGACGUCCAAAAGUACAUUUUUACACUCUUGACCUCGGAUCAGGUAGGGAUACCCGCUGAACUUAAGCAUAU